CUAUACCCUAGGUGGUGAGUGCAAACCGUAAAUAAGAAUCCAUUUUGGAAUCAGACUCACUGUGUAAAUUAUUGUUCCAGCUGAGUUAAAGAAUAACAGUGUAAGAAAUGUAAAGUCAGGGUAAAUCCCAGCAACAGGUAUUCAAAAUGAAGAAGAAAAUGAAGAAACGUACGAUAGGUGAACGAUUUCUUACGUUACGGCGGCGCUUUAGUGCUUUAUUCUGUCCGGCUCUCUCACCUCGUCAAUCUGCACGCUCGGUAAUCUCAAAUAGAUUAGCAUCUCAAGCUUUCAUGCUAACACCGCCAUCGCACUCGUCGUCACAUACACCAGAUCGGUCCGGAUCUCUACUGCGUCAUUGCGAUGUUACGACAUUUCAGUAGGGUCAUAUUUAAUGUGUUUCAAAGUGGAGUUUUACUUUAACGCUCAGUUUAUUACACAUUCACAUUUACAUUCAUUCACUUCAGCAGACGCUUUUAUCCGGAGCUCGUAGUUGUCACUGUAACCAGAGAGUAGAAUGACACGUUACACGUCGUGCGUCGAUGUGAAAUCUUCCGAGAGAGAAUCAUAAUGCGCCGAUAAAACCUUCAUGAGUUUUUCUUUUCAUACUGUAGAGUUCAGUAAACCAUUUCUCCAGGAAAAACGCACCUUGUCUGUCUUCUUUCCUUCGAGCAUCUUCACCAGCUUGUGAAAUGUCUCUUGUCCUGUGGUAGAACCACACACACACACACACACACACACACACACACACACACACACACACACAGAAGUGAUAGCACAUUUACACCACAUAAAGGCACACACACUAAUCAGUACACACACACACACACACACACACACACACACACACACACAUGGUGUGAAGAUUAUAAAGCUUACCCGGGAUGACCCUGGGCUCUUCUCUAACAGUGAAGUGUUAAGGUAUGAAAAUGUUCCUGACCCGCUGUGUCCUGUCUACAAUAACACACACACACAGUUAUUAAUUCUCACAUGAUAAAACGCAACACUUCGGAACAGCCAAAUCACUGCGUAUUAAAAUAAAUCGAGUCUAACAUAUGGAGGCUCUUAUUACAGUCUGGUCUAAUAUCUCACACUCCUCACACAUCAAUAAAUAAAUAAAGAAAGAAAGAAGUCAUACACGUGUGGAGGAGAUGUGUGGGAAUGCUGCCCCCUACUGGUGAAAAACGCAGCAACUGCAAUAAAAGUGGACGAUAGAGCAUUACAAAAUUUUUAUUUUUUUUUAAAAUUGUGAUACAGAACUCGUAAGCGAUGCGUUUAGUGCAAAUAUAUUUUAACAUCCAGUCUUGUUACUGUAAGGAAAAAGGACAAAUUGUCAAGAAAUGAGUCAAACUGUAGGCCUAUUGUAGGCUAUUGUCGCAUAAUUAAUCCCAAAAUUUCAUCCCUAAUGUCUUCACAUUUUAAGUGUUAUUUAAGUGUAAAGAGUUAUCGCUGAACUUACCCUGAACUGUUUUCCUAUAACAGCAUGUUCCAAAGUAGACUAUUCCUCCAAAAUUUUUAUUUACUAAGUCCAAAAUCUGUAUUCACGCCUGUUUUGGGCGUGCCCGCGUUCAGCAUCGAAUUUAUUUGUGAUGCCAGACUCCACAGUAGUAGUAGUUAAUGGCUCAUAUGAAAGUUUUUAGCCUAGCCUACUGGGUUUAAAUGCUAUAACGUGAUUGUGGAAGUCGUAUACGGUGUUUUACUACAAAAUAAGCUUUAGUUGUGCUGCGUGUUUUAUCUCUGUACCGGUGUUAUUGUGGAGAUGUGGGACUUGUUCGCCCACGCGAGGUUCAC
ensembl:lncRNA